rnacentral:rRNA from 1 species
UACAGAGACUGCAAGCGUUAUUCGGAUUUACUGGGCGUAAAGGGUGCGCAGGCGGUUAUGUGUGUGAUAUGUGAAAUCCCGAGGCUCAACCUCGGAAUUGCAUUUCAAACUACAUGACUAGAGCAUUGGAGAGGGUAGCAGAAUUCAUGGUGUAGCAGUGAAAUGCGUAGAUAUCAUGAGGAAUACCAGAGGCGAAGGCGGCUACCUAGACAAUUGCUGACGCUCAGGCACGAAAGCGUGGGGAGCAAAAGGG